UGCAUGUGUGUGUUCACUGCUUCAGAUGGGUUAAAUGCAGAGAGGAAUUUCACAAGCGUGUGAUGAAUAAACUUCUUCUUCUUCUUCUUCUUCUUCUUCUUCUUCAGAGGCUGAGGACGAAGUGUAAUGAGCCCAGUGCUGUAGGUUCAUAGAGGUACCAGCAAGAGUGAAAGGGAAGGUGUACAAGAUGGUCGUGAGACCAGCCAUGUUCUCUGGGUUGGAGACUGUCGCACUGAUGAAAAGACAGGAGACGGAGCUGGAGGCAGCAGAGAUAAAAGAUGCUAAGCUUUGCGUUGGGACUGACGAAGAAGGACAGGAUGAGGAACAAGUAUAUUAGAGGGACAGCCCAGGUUUGAUGGUUUGGAGACAAAUCAAGAGAGAUGAGAUUGAAUUGGUUUGAACACAUGUGGAGGAGAAAGGCAGAGUACACUGGGAGAAGGAUGCUGAAGAUGGAGCUGCCAGGCAAGAGGAAGGCCAAAGAGGAGGUUUCUGGAUGUGUGAGAGAGGACAUGCAGGUGGUUGGUGUGACAGAGGAAAAUGCUGAAGACAGGAUGAGAUGGAAACAGAUGACCUGCUGUGGUGACCCCUAAUGGAAGCAGGCAGAAGAAGAAGAAGAAGAAGAACCUGCUGUUCAUUUUAUGCUUGUAACUAUUGUCAGAGCCAUUCUGUUAUAGAAAAUUAAUCAAAAUAUGAUUUCAGAAUUUAACUGUGCCACUUUAUAAUCAACACACAUUACAUUACAUGGAAUUUAGCAGAUGAUCUUAUCCAGAGUGACAUACAAGUGCAAAAGUCAGGCACACAAAGUGCUGAACUUCUGGACAAGAAAGUUUUAGUGCCAACUGAACAAGUGACAACGAUACUGAGUGUAAUAUUCUGCUGAAGUACUCGAACAGCCAAAGAAACAAACCAACCAUACAGAGUACAAAUAAAUAGAACUCAAAACAGCUAACCCCAGGCUAGACAGUGCACAGCCUGAGCUGGUCAGGACCGAUACACAGCGACACAGUGGGCAGGGAAGCAGGGGAGAGGUGCAGCCUGAAGAGGUGAGCGUUCAGUCUGCGCUUGAAGGUGGGCAGGGAGUCGGCAGUUCCGACCUCAUUCUCAGAAGAAAAAAAUGAUUUAACUGUCAUUCAGGUACGACGUCAAAGAGCAUGCCACAUUUACGCUGCAUAAAAUUCCAGCACUUCCAACGUACACCACCGUCCUACGUCCCUGGAUAUGUAGACAUAUGAGUGGAUAGAAGUGUAGCUGUACAGACGUGUUGGAGUUAUGAUGAGUAAGCUCUCUUUACUUCUGUCCACAAUCAGCAGAUAAAUAAAAUGUCUCUCUGCUUA